GCCUCUCACUUCGUGGGUCAGUCGAGGUAAGGAAUGAUCAUGUGGAGCGUCCUCAUCUUGGUAUCGAUACUUCUAGCAUCCUAACAUCAA